UACAGAGGUCCCAAGCGUUGUUCGGAUUCACUGGGCGUAAAGGGUGUGUAGGCGGUUGGGUAAGUCUGACGUGAAAUCUCCGGGCCUAACCCGGAAACUGCGUUGGAUACUAUCCGGCUAGAGGAAUGGAGGGGAGACUGGAAUACUUGGUGUAGCAGUGAAAUGCGUAGAUAUCAAGUGGAACACCAGUGGCGAAGGCGAGUCUCUGGACAUUUCCUGACGCUGAGGCGCGAAAGCUAGGGGAGCAAACAGG
rnacentral:rRNA from 1 species